rnacentral:rRNA from 1 species
GGAAUAUUGGACAAUGGGCGCAGGCCUGAUCCAGCCAUGCCGCGUGUGUGAAGAAGGCCUUCGGGUUGUAAAGCACUUUUGUACGGGAAGAAAAGCACCUGGUUAAUACCCGGGUGUCAUGACGGUACCGUAAGAAUAAGCACCGGCUAACUUCGUGCCGGCAGCCGCGGUAAUACGAAGGGUGCAAGCGUUACUCGGAAUUACUGGGCGUAAAGCGUGCGUAGGUGGUUUGUUAAGUCUGAUGUGAAAGCCCUGGGCUCAACCUGGGAAUUGCAUUGGAUACUGGCAGGCUAGAGUGCGGUAGAGGAUGGCGGAAUUCCCGGUGUAGCAGUGAAAUGCGUAGAGAUCGGGAGGAACAUCCGUGGCGAAGGCGGCCAUCUGGACCAGCACUGACACUGAGGCACGAAAGCGUGGGGAGCAAAC